UACAGAGGGGGCAAGCGUUGUUCGGAAUUACUGGGGGUAAAGGGCGCGUAGGCGGCCUGCUAAGUCGAACGUGAAAUCCCCGGGCUCAACCCGGGAACUGCGUCCGAUACUGGUUAGCUUGAAUCCGGGAGAGGGAUGCGGAAUUCCAGGUGUAGCGGUGAAAUGCGUAGAUAUCUGGAGGAACACCGGUGGCGAAGGCGGCAUCCUGGACCGGCAUUGACGCUGAGGCGCGAAAGCCAGGGGAGCAAACGGG
rnacentral:rRNA from 1 species